AACGAACGCUGGCGGCGUGGCUAAGACAUGCAAGUCGUACGAUACGUUGUAGCAAUAUGGCGUAUAGUGGCGGACGGGUGAGUAAUGAAUAGGUAACGUACCCCGGGCACAGGGAUAGCGUCGGGCGAAAGCCCUUUGCGAAAGUGACGGUAAUACCUGGUGACGUCCUUGAGCGGCAUCGCUUGAGGACCAAAGGUGGGGACCUUCGGGCCUAUCGGCCUGGGAGCGGCCUAUUUCCUAUCAGCUUGUUGGUGAGGUAACGGCUCACCAAGGCUGCGACGGGUAACCGGACUGAGAGGUUGGCCGGUCACAUCGGGACUGAGACACUGCCCGGACAUCUACGGAUGGCUGCAGUAACGAAUAUUCCGCAAUGGGCGAAAGCCUGACGGAGCGACGCCGCGUGGAGGACGAAGUCCUCGG
rnacentral:rRNA from 1 species